CCUACGGGAGGCAGCAGUGGGGAAUCUUGCACAAUGGGGGCAACCCUGAUGCAGCGACGCCGCGUGAGCGAUGAAGCCCUUCGGGGUGUAAAGCUCUUUCGGCAGGAACGCGGUACCUGAAGAAGAAGCUGCGGCUAACUACGUGCCAGCAGCCGCGGUAAUACGUAGGCAGCAAGCGUUGUUCGGAGUUACUGGGCGUAAAGAGUGUGUAGGCGGUUCUCUAAGUUCCGUGUGAAAUCUCCCGGCUCAACUGGGAGGGUGCGCGGGAAACUGGAGGGCUUGAGUAUGGGAGAGGAAAGCGGAAUUCCUGGUGUAGCGGUGAAAUGCGUAGAUAUCAGGAGGAACACCUGCGGUGUAGACAGCUUUCUGGACCAUACUGACGCUGAGACACGAAAGCGUGGGUAGCAAACAGGAUUAGAUACCCUUGUAGUC
rnacentral:rRNA from 1 species